rfam:TPA: Bos taurus chromosome 14, whole genome shotgun sequence.
UUCCUGGUGGCUUAGAGGUUAAAGCGUCUGCCUGCAAUGAAGGAGACCUGGGUUCGAUCCCUGGGUUGGAAA